rnacentral:rRNA from 1 species
GUGGGGAAUUUUGGACAAUGGGCGCAAGCCUGAUCCAGCAAUGCCGCGUGUGUGAAGAAGGCCUUCGGGUUGUAAAGCACUUUUGGCAGGAAAGAAAUAGCGCGUGCUAAUACCAUGCGCGAAUGACGGUACCUGCAGAAUAAGCACCGGCUAACUACGUGCCAGCAGCCGCGGUAAGACGUAGGGUGCAAGCGUUAAUCGGAAUUACUGGGCGUAAAGCGUGCGCAGGCGGUUUUGUAAGACAGGUGUGAAAUCCCCGGGCUCAACCUGGGAACUGCACUUGUGACUGCAAGGCUAGAGUGUGUCAGAGGGAGGUGGAAUUCCGCGUGUAGCAGUGAAAUGCGUAGAGAUGCGGAGGAACACCGAUGGCGAAGGCAGCCUCCUGCGAUAACACUGACGCUCAGGCACGAAAGCGUGGGGAGCAAACAGGAUUAGAUACCCCUGUAGUCC